ensembl:lncRNA
CUGAGCCACCUCCGACUUUCUCAAAACCUCGAACGAUGUCUGCGUCGUCAGACACAAGGCAUCAAAUUCGGGCGAGUGUGUCAGCACACGAGGCAGCUGGGAAACCUGCUCUGCUUCCAAAGCCAGUUAUCAAACCAGGUCCACCUCCCACAACAUCUGGCCGCAACACACCUGAGAACGAGUUAGCCCAAAUACAGGAAGCGGAGACAAACACGCCCACUAAACUCAGCCCAGCUGCAGCUCCGUCAGCUCCUGCUGCUCCUGCUAUCCCUGCUACCACCAGUCCUACUGAACCGACAAUCUCAAACUCAGUCGCUGACUCAGCCAACAUCAUUCCAGUCCCUCUUUCAAGUACUGUAACUCCGUCUGACACAGAUAUAUGCACUGACUCUGUUAUCCCUGCUCCAGCAGCUAUAACACCCACAGACGACACUGCACUUGACAGCAAAGCCUCCAUCCCUGAAACUAGCUCUUCUCCCACCAAACUACCAACCUCUACCUUCCAAACAACCACCACUACACCCACAGAACUCCCCACCUCUGUCUCAGUUACCUCCACCUCCUCAGAGUCCAUUACUCCAAGCCUCUCUGUCACUGCCACCUCAGCAACAAUAACUACACCCUCCAUUGCCGCCACUGAAACGGUGUCUGCUCCCAGCAAUGAAAGUUCAGUCACCACCACAUCAACAAAUCUGUCAGCUAAAUCGACUUUGCCGGAGCCGAAUAGAAUUCUGGAUCCAGCUGCUGGUGGUGAUGCAGCUAUUUCUGUCACCACCACAGCUCCUUCACCCUCCACCAGCACAUCAGAAAUGCCAUCAAUCAAUUCAGUUACUGAAGCUAGUGAUGAACCCCCGUCUGUCACAUCCACUGGCUCUGUAACAUCACUUUCAUUAGUCACUACCACAGCAACGAUUCCUCUUCUUAACUCAAGUGAUAAAAUUAAAGCCGCAGUUUCACAUGACACCCCAGUUACCACUGUCUCCGCCUCGAUUUCUUCUCCCCCACCGCCUUGUACCACCUCCACCUCUUCAACCACUACUGAAACUACCAGCCCAGCAACCAGCGAAUGCAUGACUGUCUCUACAUCUGCCAUUAUUCACACUGCCAUGCCUGGCCCCACAGACAUCUCUACUCCCUCUACUUCUUCCACAGAAACAAACCCUACAGACACUACUUCCACCGCCACCUGUUUAAACCAUGCUGAUACCACUUCCACUGCUAGCUCAGUAGCUAAUGCUGCAAUUAGCUCCCCACUCAUAGCUGACUCAGAUCGGCCUAUCUCCAACAAUGUCAGCAUUACCCUCACACCACCUAUCGCUAGCCUGCCCGCUCCUGAUAACUCAAGUGCUACUUCUCACCAUGUGACUGGUCCGACAGCCUCUAAUGAUAGUCCAGGCCAAGGUAACGAUUUACAGACAUCCCCUGAAGAAAAAUCUGGCACAGAGCAGCCUGGAGAAAAAGGCACAGCAGAUGAGGAGCCUGAGGUGGUUCAGAAAGUAACUGAGGUGGUUGAGAAGAAGGAGAAGGGUCCUGAUUGUAAAAAGAAGAUUGACAGCGAAAAUGAAAAAAUGACGCCAGUCAGGAGUGAAGUGACGAGAAAAGAAGAGCAGGGAGAGAAUGUGAAAGCUGAGGAAGACACGGCAGCUGCACCUGGAUCAGGGAAAGGGGAUGAGCAGAAAAGAGAUGACAACAAAGCAACAACAAAAGGUCAAAAGCAAGAGGAAACAGUCAUUGAGUAAAAAGUAAGAAAACAAAAGAUAUUGCUACACACUGGGACCAACUACUGUGACGGAGGCAGAAGAGGCCACAGUAAAGGGGUGGGGGGACGAUCCAUGGCACUUCCUACAGGGACCACCGUAUCACAGCAGCACACCACAACAGGGUGGGCCACUGGACCAAAGAACUGAGAUCCCCUUGGUGUGAUGUAAUCAACAAAUCCAGCAG